rnacentral:miRNA from 1 species
AAAGGCAUAAAACCAAGACA